ACUAGCUUUAGGCGGAUUUAAUGGAUGUUCCAAGCAAUGGAAAGAUAUAUUCCUGCUAGAUUGCACAUUUUAUUAGGAUAUUUCUUAGUUAUCAUCUAUGUCUAAGCCGAUGGAAAGCUAUAUCCUUGGCAGUCCGUAUUGUGUUAGAGAAGAGAGAUCUUCUAAGGCGUUGACAGGUAUUUUCUAGUAGGAGUCUCCCUAGGAUUAAGCUAGAGAGAAUGUGGCACAUCAAAACGCGCCCUUUGCUGCUAAGCCACACUGCGAGAGAGCCAGUGAAUGCAACGCAAAGGAGUCACCCACGGAAAUGAUUUUGCACGUAUUUUGUACGGAUUAUGGUUGACAAUCCAAACGGUUGCAUUCGUUACAUGGCUGAAAAGUAUCUACUGAUGAAAUGUCUGCAAAAAAUGAUGAUGGCCAGACAUUUUUUUUAAUGAGCGCCGAAAAAAACACUUGCAAUUCGCUUUAUUCCGAUUUAUUCGGGGUUACAGCAGCGAACAGAGCAGGAAAAAAUCGGGGGAAUUCCCGAGAAGGAAACAAAAUCAAAACUGAAACA